rnacentral:rRNA from 1 species
AUUGAACGCUGGCGGCAGGCCUAACACAUGCAAGUCGAGCGAGCGUCGGCCGGGUGAGUACUGUCUGGGCAACUGCCUGAUGGAGGGGGCUACCUCCUAGAAACGGUAGCUAAUACCGCAUACCAUCAGAUGUGCCCAGAUGGGAUUAGCUAGUAGGUGGGGUAAUGGCUCACCUAGGCGACGAUCCCUAGAUGGUCUGAGAGGAUGACCAGCCACACUGGAACGGAGACACGGGCCAGACUACUACGUGAGGCAGCAGUGGGGAAUAUUGGACAAGGGGCGAAAGCCUGAUCAAGUCAUGCCGCGUGUGUGAAGAGGGUUGUCGGAUUGUAAAGCACUUUAAGUUGGGAGGCGUUACCAACAGAAGAAGCACCGGCUAACUUCGUGCCAGCAGCAGCGGUAAGUC